UACGUAGGGGGCGAGCGUUGUCCGGAUUUAUUGGGCGUAAAGAGCUCGUAGGCGGUUUGGUAAGUCGGAUGUGAAAUCUCCAGGCUCAACCUGGAGGGGUCAUUCGAUACUGCCAUGACUAGAGUUCGGUAGGGGUGUGUGGAAUUCCUGGUGGAGCGGUGAAAUGCGCAGAUAUCAGGAGGAACACCCGUAGCGAAGGCGGCACACUGGGCCGAUACUGACGCUGAGGCGCGAAAGCUAGGGGAGCAAACGGG
rnacentral:rRNA from 1 species